UGACACAGCCAUUCUCUGAGCAG
rnacentral:miRNA from 1 species